GGGUAGUUAGUUCAGUGGAAGAGCGUUCGCCUCACACGCGAAAGGUCGCAGGUUCGAACCCUGCACUACCCA
rnacentral:tRNA from 1 species